GGACCCGCACAAGUAGUGGAGCAUGUGGUUUAAUUCGAAGAUACGCGCAGAACCUUACCAACACUUGACAUGUUCGUCGCGACUCUAAGAGAUUAGAGUUUUCGGUUCGGCCGGACGAAACACAGGUGCUGCAUGGCUGUCGUCAGCUCGUGUCGUGAGAUGUUGGGUUAAGUCCCGCAACGAGCGCAACCCUCACUUUUAGUUGCCAUCAUUAAGUUGGGCACUCUGAAAGAACUGCCAGUGAUAAGCUGGAGGAAGGUGGGGAUGACGUCAAGUCCUCAUGGCCCUUACGUGUUGGGCUACACACGUGCUACAAUGGUAGUGACAAUGGGUUAAUCCCAAAAAGCUAUC
rnacentral:rRNA from 1 species